AGAGUUUGAUCAUGGCUCAGAACGAACGCUGGCGGCAGGCCUAACACAUGCAAGUCGAGCGCUCGCAAGAGAGCGGCAGACGGGUGAGUAACACGUGGGAAUCUACCCGAUGGUACGGAAUAACCCAGGGAAACUUGGGCUAAUACCGUAUGUGCCCUAAGGGGGAAAGAUUUAUCGCCAUCGGAUGAGCCCGCGUCGGAUUAGCUAGUUGGUGAGGUAAUGGCUCACCAAGGCUACGAUCCGUAGCUGGUCUGAGAGGAUGACCAGCCACACUGGGACUGAGACACGGCCCAGACUCCUACGGGAGGCAGCAGUGGGGAAUAUUGGACAAUGGGCGAAAGCCUGAUCCAGCCAUGCCGCGUGGGUGAUGAAGGCCUUAGGGUUGUAAAGCCCUUUCGGCGGGGACGAUAAUGACGGUACCCGCAGAAGAAGCCCCGGCUAACUUCGUGCCAGCCGCCGCGGUAAUUC
rnacentral:rRNA from 1 species